GGGUUGUGAGGUUAAGCGACUAAGCGUACACGGUGGAUGCCCUGGCAGUCAGAGGCGAUGAAGGACGUGCUAAUCUGCGAAAAGCGCCGGCGAGGUGAUAUGAACCCUUGACCCGGCGAUGUCCGAAUGGGGAAACCCAGUGUGAUUCGUCACACUAUCGUUAGCUGAAUACAUAGGUUAACGAGGCGAACCGGGGAACUGAAACAUCUAAGUACCCCGAGGAAAAGAAAUCAACCGAGAUUCCCCCAGUAGCGGCGAGCGAACGGGGAGCAGCCCGGAGUCUGAAUCAGCUUGUGUGUUAGUGGAAGCGUCUGGAAAGUCGCAGGGUACAGGGUGAUACUCCCGUACACGAAAGCACACUUGCUGUGAACUCGAAGAGUAGGGCGGGACACGUGGUAUCCUGUCUGAAUAUGGGGGGACCAUCCUCCAAGGCUAAAUACUCCUGACUGACCGAUAGUGAACCAGUACCGUGAGGGAAAGGCGAAAAGAACCCCGGCGAGGGGAGUGAAAAAGAACCUGAAACCGUGUACGUACAAGCAGUGGGAGCACCUUCGGGUGUGACUGCGUACCUUUUGUAUAAUGGGUCAGCGACUUAUAUUCUGUAGCAAGGUUAACCGUAUAGGGGAGCCGAAGGGAAACCGAGUCUUAACUGGGCGUUAAGUUGCAGGGUAUAGACCCGAAACCCGGUGAUCUAGCCAUGGGCAGGUUGAAGGUUGGGUAACACUAACUGGAGGACCGAACCGACUAAUGUUGAAAAAUUAGCGGAUGACCUGUGGCUGGGGUGAAAGGCCAAUCAAACCGGGAGAUAGCUGGUUCUCCCGAAAGCUAUUUAGGUAGCGCCUCGUGAAUUCAUCUCCGGGGUAGAGCACUGUUUCGGCUAGGGGGCCAUCCCGGCUUACCAACCCGAUGCAAACUGCGAAUACCGGAGAAUGUUAUCACGGGAGACACACGGCGGGUGCUAACGUCCGUCGUGAAGAGGGAAACAACCCAGACCGCCAGCUAAGGUCCCAAAGUCAUGGUUAAGUGGGAAACGAUGUGGGAAGGCACAGACAGCCAGGAUGUUGGCUUAGAAGCAGCCAUCAUUUAAAGAAAGCGUAAUAGCUCACUGGUCGAGUCGGCCUGCGCGGAAGAUGUAACGGGGCUAAACCAUGCACCGAAGCUGCGGCAGCGACACUAUGUGUUGUUGGGUAGGGGAGCGUUCUGUAAGCCUGCGAAGGUGUGCCGUGAGGCAUGCUGGAGGUAUCAGAAGUGCGAAUGCUGACAUAAGUAACGAUAAAGCGGGUGAAAAGCCCGCUCGCCGGAAGACCAAGGGUUCCUGUCCAACGUUAAUCGGGGCAGGGUGAGUCGACCCCUAAGGCGAGGCCGAAAGGCGUAGUCGAUGGGAAACAGGUUAAUAUUCCUGUACUCGGUGUUACUGCGAAGGGGGACGGAGAAGGCUAUGUUGGCCGGGCGACGGUUGUCCCGGUUUAAGCAUGUAGGCGGAGGUUCCAGGUAAAUCCGGUACCUUUUAACGCUGAGGUGUGAUGACGAGGCACUACGGUGCUGAAGCAACAAAUGCCCUGCUUCCAGGAAAAGCCUCUAAGCAUCAGGUAACAUCAAAUCGUACCCCAAACCGACACAGGUGGUCAGGUAGAGAAUACCAAGGCGCUUGAGAGAACUCGGGUGAAGGAACUAGGCAAAAUGGUGCCGUAACUUCGGGAGAAGGCACGCUGAUAUGUAGGUGAAGCCCCUGCGGGUGGAGCUGAAAUCAGUCGAAGAUACCAGCUGGCUGCAACUGUUUAUUAAAAACACAGCACUGUGCAAACACGAAAGUGGACGUAUACGGUGUGACGCCUGCCCGGUGCCGGAAGGUUAAUUGAUGGGGUUAGCGGCAACGCGAAGCUCUUGAUCGAAGCCCCGGUAAACGGCGGCCGUAACUAUAACGGUCCUAAGGUAGCGAAAUUCCUUGUCGGGUAAGUUCCGACCUGCACGAAUGGCGUAAUGAUGGCCAGGCUGUCUCCACCCGAGACUCAGUGAAAUUGAAAUCGCUGUGAAGAUGCAGUGUACCCGCGGCAAGACGGAAAGACCCCGUGAACCUUUACUAUAGCUUGACACUGAACACUGGUCCUUGAUGUGUAGGAUAGGUGGGAGGCUUUGAAGUGUGGACGCCAGUCUGCAUGGAGCCGUCCUUGAAAUACCACCCUUUAAUGGCUGGUGUUCUAACGUGGACCCGUAAUCCGGGUUGCGGACAGUGUCUGGUGGGUAGUUUGACUGGGGCGGUCUCCUCCUAAAGAGUAACGGAGGAGCACGAAGGUCAGCUAAUCCUGGUCGGACAUCAGGAGGUUAGUGCAAUGGCAUAAGCUGGCUUGACUGCGAGAGUGACGGCUCGAGCAGGUGCGAAAGCAGGUCAUAGUGAUCCGGUGGUUCUGAAUGGAAGGGCCAUCGCUCAACGGAUAAAAGGUACUCCGGGAUAACAGGCUGAUACCGCCCAAGAGUUCAUAUCGACGGCGGUGUUUGGCACCUCGAUGUCGGCUCAUCACAUCCUGGGGCUGAAGUAGGUCCCAAGGGUAUGGCUGUUCGCCAUUUAAAGUGGUACGCGAGCUGGGUUUAGAACGUCGUGAGACAGUUCGGUCCCUAUCUGCCGUGGGCGCUGGAGAAUUGAGGGGGGCUGCUCCUAGUACGAGAGGACCGGAGUGGACGCAUCACUGGUGUUCGGGUUGUCAUGCCAAUGGCACUGCCCGGUAGCUAAAUGCGGAAGAGAUAAGUGCUGAAAGCAUCUAAGCACGAAACUUGCCCCGAGAUGAGUUCUCCCUGACUCCUUGAGAGUCCUGAAGGAACGUUGAAGACGACGACGUUGAUAGGCCGGGUGUGUAAGCGCAGCGAUGCGUUGAGCUAACCGGUACUAAUGAACCGUGAGGCUUAACCUUACAACGCCGAAGCUGUU
rnacentral:rRNA from 1 species